rnacentral:misc_RNA from 1 species
AAGACUAUAGACCUGCGGAGUACCUGCGGAAGGAUCAUUAGUGAACGCCCUCACGGGCUUAUAACUAUUCCAAACCUCUGUGAGCCGUGCCCUUCGGGGCUAUUUUACAAACAUGGUGUAAUGAACGUCAUAUAUCAUAACAAAACAAAACUUUCAACAACGGAUCUCU